AUUGAACGCUGGCGGCAUGCUUUACACAUGCAAGUCGAACGGCAGCGCGGGCUUCGGCCUGGCGGCGAGUGGCGAACGGGUGAGUAAUGCAUCGGAACGUGCCCAGUAGUGGGGGAUAGCCCGGCGAAAGCCGGAUUAAUACCGCAUACGACCUGAGGGUGAAAGCGGGGGACCGAAAGGCCUCGCGCUAUUGGAGCGGCCGAUGUCGGAUUAGCUAGUUGGUGGGGUAAAGGCUUACCAAGGCGACGAUCCGUAGCUGGUCUGAGAGGACGACCAGCCACACGGGGACUGAGACACGGCCCAGACUCCUACGGGGGGCAGCAGUGGGGAAUUUUGGACAAUGGGGGCAACCCGGAUCCAGCCAUGCCGCGUGCGGGAAGAAGGCCUUCGGGUUGUAAACCGCUUUUGUUCGGGAAGAAAUCCUCUGGGCUAAUACCCCGGGGGGAUGACGGUACCGGAAGAAUAAGCACCGGCUAACUACGUG
rnacentral:rRNA from 1 species